rnacentral:rRNA from 1 species
CCUACGGGCGACAGCAGUGAGGAAUAUUGGUCAAUGGGCGAGAGCCUGAACCAGCCAAGUCGCGUGAGGGAGUACUGCCCUAUGGGUUGUAAACCUCUUUUGUCGGGGAGCAAAAGCCGGACGUGUCCGGCUGUGAGAGUACCCGAAGAAAAAGCAUCGGCUAACUCCGUGCCAGCAGCCGCGGUAAUACGGAGGAUGCGAGCGUUAUCCGGAUUUAUGGGGUUAAAAGGGUGCGCAGGCGGAUUUUUACGUCAGCGGUCAAAUCGUGGGGCUCAACCCCAUCCAGCCGUUGAAACUGGGGAUCUAGAGUGUGCGAGAGGUAUGGGGAAUGCGUGGUGUAGCGGUGAAAUGCAUAGAGAUCACGCAGAACCCCGAUUGCGAAGGCAGCAUACCGGUGCACAACUGACGCUCAGGCACGAAAGCGUGGGUAUCGAACAGGAUUAGAUACCCCAGUAGUC